GGCUCAGAUUGAACGCUGGCGGCAGGCCUAACACAUGCAAGUCGAGCGGUAACAGAAAGUAGCUUGCUACUUUGCUGACGAGCGGCGGACGGGUGAGUAAUGCUUGGGAACAUGCCUUGAGGUGGGGGACAACAGUUGGAAACGACUGCUAAUACCGCAUAAUGUCUACGGACCAAAGGGGGCUUCGGCUCUCGCCUUUAGAUUGGCCCAAGUGGGAUUAGCUAGUUGGUGAGGUAAUGGCUCACCAAGGCGACGAUCCCUAGCUGGUUUGAGAGGAUGAUCAGCCACACUGGGACUGAGACACGGCCCAGACUCCUACGGGAGGCAGCAGUGGGGAAUAUUGCACAAUGGGCGCAAGCCUGAUGCAGCCAUGCCGCGUGUGUGAAGAAGGCCUUCGGGUUGUAAAGCACUUUCAGUCAGGAGGAAAGCGUGGUGGUUAAUACCCAUCAUGUGUGACGUUACUGACAGAAGAAGCACCGGCUAACUCCGUGCCAGCAGCCGCGGUAAUACGGAGGGUGCGAGCGUUAAUCGGAAUUACUGGGCGUAAAGCGUACGCAGGCGGUUUGUUAAGCGAGAUGUGAAAGCCCCGGGCUCAACCUGGGAACUGCAUUUCGAACUGGCAAACUAGAGUGUGAUAGAGGGUGGUAGAAUUUCAGGUGUAGCGGUGAAAUGCGUAGAGAUCUGAAGGAAUACCGAUGGCGAAGGCAGCCACCUGGGUCAACACUGACGCUCAUGUACGAAAGCGUGGGGAGCAAACGGGAUUAGAUACCCCGGUAGUCCACGCCGUAAACGAUGUCUACUAGAAGCUCGGAGCCUCGGUUCUGUUUUUCAAAGCUAACGCAUUAAGUAGACCGC
rnacentral:rRNA from 1 species